CCUACGGGAGGCAGCAGUGAGGAAUAUUGGUCAAUGGGCGCGAGCCUGAACCAGCCAAGUAGCGUGAAGGAUGACUGCCCUACGGGUUGUAAACUUCUUUUAUAAAGGAAUAAAGUGAGGCACUUGUGCCUUUUUGUAUGUACUUUAUGAAUAAAGAUCGGCUAACUCCGUGCCAUCAGCCGCGGUAAUACGGAGGAUCCGAGCGUUCUCCGGAUUUAUUGGGUUUAAAGGGAGCGUAGAUGGGUUGUUAAGUCAGUUGUGAAAGUUUGCGGCUCAACCGUAAAAUUGCAAUUGAUACUGGCAGUCUUGAGUACAGUUGAGGUAGGCGGAAUUCGUGGUGUAGCGGUGAAAUGCUUAGAUAUCACGAAGAACGCCGAUUGCGAAGGCAGCUUACUAAACUGCCACUGACAUUGAUGCUCGAAAGUGUGGGUAUCAAACAGGAUUAGAUACCCUUGUAGUC
rnacentral:rRNA from 1 species